GAUGAACGCUGGCGGUAUGCUUAACACAUGCAAGUCGAACGGACUCUUCGGAGUUAGUGGCGGACGGGAGAGUAACGCGUGAGAAGCUGGCUUUGGGUUCGGGACAACCACUGGAAACGGUGGCUAAUACCGGAUGUGCCGAGAGGGAAAAGAGAAAUUGCCUACAGAUUAGGUCGCGUCUGAUUAGCUGGUUGGUGAGGUAAAGGCUCACCAAGGCAGCGAUCAGUAGCUGGUCUGAGAGGAUGACCAGCCACACUGGGACUGAGACACGGCCCAGACGCAUACGGGAGGAAGGAGGGGAGAAUGUUCCGCAAAGGGCGAAAGAGUGAAGGAGCAAUACCGAGUGAGGGAAGAAGGUUCUUGGGAUGUAAACCUCUUUUCUUAAGGAAGAACAACAUGACGGUACCUAAGGAGUCAGCAUCGGCUAACUCCGUG
rnacentral:rRNA from 1 species